AGGGUUGUAGCUCAGUAAUAAGAGCAUCUGCUUUGCAUGCAGAAGGUCUCAGGUUCAACCCCAACCCCA